rnacentral:rRNA from 1 species
GAUGAACGCUGGCGGCGUGCCUAAUACAUGCAAGUCGAGCGAACAGACGAGGAGCUUGCUCCUCUGACGUUAGCGGCGGACGGGUGAGUAACACGUGGAUAACCUACCUAUAAGACUGGGAUAACUUCGGGAAACCGGAGCUAAUACCGGAUAAUAUAUUGAACCGCAUGGUUCAAUAGUGAAAGACGGUUUUGCUUUCACUUAUAGAUGGAUCCUCGCCGCAUUAGCUAGUUGGUAAGGUAACGGCUUACCAAGGCAACGAUGCGUAGCCGACCUGAGAGGGUGAUCGGCCAAACUGGAACUGAGACACGGUCCAGACGCCUACGGGAGGCAGCAGUAGGGAAUCUUCCGCAAUGGGCGAAAGCCUGACGGAGCAACGCCGCGUGAGUGAUGAAGGUCUUCGGAUCGUAAAACUCUGUUAUUAGGGAAGAACAAAUGUGUAAGUAACUAUGCACGUAUUGACGGUACCUAAUCAGAAAGCCACGGCUAACUACGUG